UUUCACUUUAAGUUCUCGCCUUUCCAAAUGCCCAUCCACAUUUAUAGGAGAAUUGCAACCGCAUACCUAUGUCUCUUAUUUUCUAUACAAAUUUACUUGGAAGGCGUUUGAAGUGAGCGAAGUAGUGAUAAAACAGCCAAAUUCAAUCACCAGUCUCCAGCUGUAUGGUAGAAGAUACAGAUGGAAACUGAUUGUUGCUGAGAAAUAAUUGCUGACGUUACAACAAUAGCAGCGAAUUCAUUGCAAUCAAUAUCAAGAAAGACAUCUGGAAGUGUUAAGCCCAAGCAUCAUCUCUGCCACCUUUAACUGCAACCACCAGCGCAGCAAUCAUAUAGAAUAACGUCCAAGUGGCACAGUAAAGCAGCUCCUGUAAAUGUUAACAAAGAAAAUUAAUUGGAAUAUGGAAUAAUUGAAAAUGUUAAAUAGCUAAAUGUUUUAGAGA